rnacentral:rRNA from 1 species
UACGUAGGGACCGAGCGUUGUCCGGAAUCAUUGGGCGUAAAGAGCGUGUAGGCGGCCACUUAAGUCCUGCGUGAAAUCUUGCGGCUCAACCGCAAGCGGUCGUGGGAAACUGGGUGGCUAGAGUGCGGGAGAGGAGAGUGGAAUUCCUGGUGUAGCGGUGGAAUGCGCAGAUAUCAGGAGGAACACCGGCGGCGAAGGCGGGUCUCUGGGCCAUAACUGACGCUGAGGAGCGAAAGCGUGGGGAGCGAACAGG